AACGGGUGGAGCCUGCGGUUUAAUUGGACUCAACGCCGGGCAGCUCACCGGAUAAGACAGCUGGAUGAUAGCCGGGCUGAAGACUCUGCUUGACUAGCUGAGAGAGGUGCAUGGCCGUCGUCAGUUCGUACUGUGAAGCAUCCUGUUAAGUCAGGCAACGAGCGAGACCCACGCCAACAGUUGCCAGCAUGUCCUCCGGGAUGAUGGGGACACUGUUGGGACCGCUCUGCUAAAGAGGAGGAAGGAAUGGGCAACGGUAGGUCAGCAUGCCCCGAAUUAUCCGGGCUACACGCGGGCUACAAUGGUCAGGACAAUGGGUAUCGACACCGAGAGGUGGAGGCAAUCUCCUAAACCUGUCCUUAGUUCGGAUUGUGGGCUGCAACUCGCCCACAUGAAGCUGGAAUCCGUAGUAAUCGCGUUUCAAAAUAGCGCGGUGAAUAUGUCCCUGCUCCUU
rnacentral:rRNA from 1 species